UGAUCCUGGCUCAGGAUGAACGCUGGCGGCGUGCUUAACACAUGCAAGUCGAACGGUGAACACGGAGCUUGCUCUGUGGGAUCAGUGGCGAACGGGUGAGUAACACGUGAGCAACCUGCCCCUGACUCUGGGAUAAGCGCUGGAAACGGCGUCUAAUACUGGAUAUGUGACGUGACCGCAUGGUCUGCGUUUGGAAAGAUUUUUCGGUUGGGGAUGGGCUCGCGGCCUAUCAGCUUGUUGGUGAGGUAAUGGCUCACCAAGGCGUCGACGGGUAGCCGGCCUGAGAGGGUGACCGGCCACACUGGGACUGAGACACGGCCCAGACUCCUACGGGAGGCAGCAGUGGGGAAUAUUGCACAAUGGGCGGAAGCCUGAUGCAGCAACGCCGCGUGAGGGAUGACGGCCUUCGGGUUGUAAACCUCUUUUAGCAGGGAAGAAGCGAAAGUGACGGUACCUGCAGAAAAAGCGCCGGCUAACUACGUGCCAGCAGCCGCGGUAAUACGUAGGGCGCAAGCGUUAUCCGGAAUUAUUGGGCGUAAAGAGCUCGUAGGCGGUUUGUCGCGUCUGCUGUGAAAUCCCGAGGCUCAACCUCGGGCCUGCAGUGGGUACGGGCAGACUAGAGUGCGGUAGGGGAGAUUGGAAUUCCUGGUGUAGCGGUGGAAUGCGCAGAUAUCAGGAGGAACACCGAUGGCGAAGGCAGAUCUCUGGGCCGUAACUGACGCUGAGGAGCGAAAGGGUGGGGAGCAAACAGGCUUAGAUACCCUGGUAGUCCACCCCGUAAACGUUGGGAACUAGUUGUGGGGUCCAUUCCACGGAUUCCGUGACGCAGCUAACG
rnacentral:rRNA from 1 species